CUGUCACUCCUGCCUGGGGGCCCAGCUGUAGUGGGUGCUGUUCUUCCAUGCAUAAGUUCACCAUACUAACUGGGGUGUAGAUAUGUACCUCUUUUCUCUAGGCUCAGAGUCUCCCAAAGGGGCCAUUGGCCACAUUGUCCCUACUGAGAAGACCAUUCUGGCUGUAGAGAGGAACAAAGUGCUGCUGCCUCCUCUCUGGAACAGGACCUUCAGCUGGGGCUUUGAUGACUUCAGCUGCUGCUUGGGGAGCUAUGGCUCCGACAAGGUCCUGAUGACAUUCGAGAACCUGGCUGCCUGGGGCCGCUGUCUGUGCGCCGUGUGCCCGUCCCCAACAACAAUUGUCACCUCUGGGACCAGCACUGUGGUGUGUGUGUGGGAGCUCAGCAUGACCAAAGGCCGCCCGAGGGGCUUGCGCCUCCGGCAGGCCUUGUAUGGACACACACAGGCUGUCACGUGCCUGGCAGCGUCAGUCACCUUCAGCCUCUUGGUGAGCGGCUCCCAGGACUGCACCUGUAUCCUGUGGGAUCUGGACCACCUCACCCACGUGACCCGCCUGCCCACCCAUCGGGAAGGCAUCUCAGCCAUCACCAUCAGUGACGUCUCAGGCACCAUUGUCUCCUGUGCGGGAGCACACUUGUCCCUGUGGAAUGUCAAUGGACAGCCCCUGGCCAGCAUCACCACAGCCUGGGGCCCAGAAGGAGCCAUAACCUGCUGCUGCCUGAUGGAGGGCCCAGCAUGGGACACAAGCCAGAUCAUCAUCACCGGGA
rnacentral:sRNA from 1 species